rnacentral:lncRNA from 1 species
CUCUUGCCAGGAAAUGCUGUAGCUAUGCUUUUGUUUAAGGACCUUGAACAAAGGCUCUGGAUGUUUAAUAAUUGCAAAUUCGGGUGGGUGGGAUAUGGAGAAGGUUAAUAGGGCAGCCUAACAGAGGAGGAGCUGAGCUUGGGAGAGGAGGAGAGGAACACCGAGGACAUGGCAGCAAGCAGAGGGAAGUAAGCCAGGAAAAACCCCUUUUUGCCAUGUUGAAGUUAACUUAAGUCACCACUGACAAUUUUGGGGAGGCCAGGGAGUGUGAGAUUUGUGAUUCAGUGUGCGGCUUUGUCACAUGGGUACUCAGGCUGAAAAUGAUGGAAAUCUUGGUGCUGUCUCACUUUGGGUUAGAUGAAGUGGGUGCAAUUAGGCAGAGAGGUCCAGAACUAUUACGAAAAAGAAAAGCUCUGAAGGACAAAAGCAGUCUGCCUGUGCAUCACAAAGUGGUGUAGCAUCUUGCCAGUCACCUCCAGAAAAC